rnacentral:rRNA from 1 species
AGAGUUUGAUCCUGGCUCAGGAUGAACGCUAGCUACAGGCUUAACACAUGCAAGUCGAGGGGAAACGAUAGAGAAAGCUUGCUUUUUCUAGGCGUCGACCGGCGCACGGGUGAGUAACGCGUAUCCAACCUGCCCACCACUUGGGGAUAACCUUGCGAAAGUAAGACUAAUACCCAAUGAUAUCUCAAGAAGACAUCUGAAUGAGAUUAAAGAUUUAUCGGUGAUGGAUGGGGAUGCGUCUGAUUAGCUUGUUGGCGGGGUAACGGCCCACCAAGGCGACGAUCAGUAGGGGUUCUGAGAGGAAGGUCCCCCACAUUGGAACUGAGACACGGUCCAAACUCCUACGGGAGGCAGCAGUGAGGAAUAUUGGUCAAUGGGCGAGAGCCUGAACCAGCCAAGUAGCGUGCAGGAUGACGGCCCUAUGGGUUGUAAACUGCUUUUAUAAGGGAAUAAAGUGAGCCUCGUGAGGCUUUUUGCAUGUACCUUAUGAAUAAGGACCGGCUAAUUCCGUGCCAGCAGCCGCGGUAAUACGGAAGGUCCGGGCGUUAUCCGGAUUUAUUGGGUUUAAAGGGAGCGUAGGCCGGAGAUUAAGCGUGUUGUGAAAUGUAGACGCUCAACGUCUGCACUGCAGCGCGAACUGGUUUCCUUGAGUACGCACAAAGUGGGCGGAAUUCGUGGUGUAGCGGUGAAAUGCUUAGAUAUCACGAAGAACUCCGAUUGCGAAGGCAGCUCACUGGAGCGCAACUGACGCUGAAGCUCGAAAGUGCGGGUAUCGAACAGGAUUAGAUACCCUGGUAGUCCGCACGGUAAACGAUGGAUGCCCGCUGUUGGUCUGAAUAGGUCAGCGGCCAAGCGAAAGCAUUAAGCAUCCCACCUGGGGAGUACGCCGGCAACGGUGAAACUCAAAGGAAUUGACGG